rnacentral:rRNA from 1 species
UACGAAGGGGGCUAGCGUUGCUCGGAAUCACUGGGCGUAAAGGGUGCGUAGGCGGGUCUUUAAGUCAGGGGUGAAAUCCUGGAGCUCAACUCCAGAACUGCCUUUGAUACUGGAGAUCUUGAGUUCGGGAGAGGUGAGUGGAACUGCGAGUGUAGAGGUGAAAUUCGUAGAUAUUCGCAAGAACACCAGUGGCGAAGGGCGGCUCACUGGCCCGGUAUAGACGCUGAGGUGCGAAAGCGUGGGGAGCAAACAGG